ACGUUCCCAUAAUCCUCACACUCACCGUUGCAGAGAAGAACCUUGUUUGGUGCCUACAAAUACAAUAAUCAGUUAACUGAUUAACCUUAAUAAAUCACAUGUGAUAAAGAAAGAAAGAGAGUCUCAAAUUUCUGUUAAUUUUAGUUUUCGUUUCGUAUCACGCUUUUCAUCUUCCAUUUUCCCUCACUUUCUGUUACCUCCAAACACUGUCGAAUUCUUCUUCGUUCUCUGCGACACAUGGAGAUGUCAAUGGAGGAUUCGCGCUCGUACGAGAUUCUCUCCAUGGCUCUCGAAGCUUUCCUCCGACGCGGACGAUCUCCCCGAUUACCGAACAGUUCUAUACCGAUUACGCCACGAAUAUCUCCUUUUACGCCGUCGUUUUAAGGUCCUUUCUUGGCUCUCCGAAUUUCUUCGUUUCUUUCGCUGUUUAUGCUCGGAAUUCCAACAGUAGGAUAUCGUUGUCUCGUGAUUUCCCGUUUCAUUCGUGAAUCAUUUGUUGUUAGUGACUUUAGAUUGGUUAUUUGUCUCUGUGCAAAGUUUGGAUAUAUGAGAAUUUUCAGCGCGAGUUAGUCUCGGAAAGUUUUCUGUUAUGCUAUGUUAGGGUUUGGAACCAAGUCUGCAAUGUCUCUGAAACCUUGAUCUGGAAUUUAAGGGAGAUUCCUGUUAGGAGUUUCGUGGUUUUGGAAUUUAAGAGAGGUUCCUGUUGUGUUUGUGUGUUGAUUGAUUAUUGAAUAUUGUCUAGUGUUGAAUUUUUCGUUUGACUUUUUGGUUGGGGAAAUUUUAAUGGCUGGAAAGUUGGAAUUGGGGCCUCCGAAGUCUGAUGUUUCCAAUCCGAAGGAACAAGCGGCGAGGAAGAUACUGAAAAUUGUUAGAUCUCAAGGGCAUCCGUAUGUUGAGUUGCGCGAGAAUGGGAAGAAAUUCAUUUAUUUCUGCACUCUGUGUCUUGCGCCCUGUUAUAGUGAUGAUGUUCUGUUUGAUCACUUGAAAGGCAAUCUUCACAAGGAGAGACUAUCUGCUGCUAAGGUCACUCUGCUUGGACCGAAACCCUGGCCUUUUAACGAUGGUCUUGUUUUCUUUGAUACUUCGACUGAAAGUCAUAAAGAGUUGGAAGUUGCAGAUAGUUACCAAAACAGGUUGUUGAAGUUUAAUGACAAUGACGUCAGUCUUGCGAUUGUGAAGUUUGGUGAUGGGGUUCAGUCAAAUGCUAAACCACGUUCGAUUGAUGGUAUGCAAGAUGAUGAGUAUGCAUUAGUGAUUCCUAAUUUGCUGAUUGGAGAUGAAAUAUUUGAUGUAAAAGUUAGGGAAGUUGGCUUGGGGAAGAUUGCCGCAAGAUUCCUUGAGAAGUGUCACGCAUUGAAUGGGAUUAAAAGAAUAUGGUGUGAAUGGUUAGGCAAAGAAAGUAAUGGUGAACGAGAUGGUGUUGAGGUUCUAGAGCAUGAUUUUGCAGUUGUGAUUUUUGCUUAUAAUUAUGAUCUGGGUCGGUCAGGUUUGCUUGAUGAUGUCAACACGUUGCUCCCGUCUGCUUCUGGUGGCCAAAAGGGAAAGUCAUCAUUGUCUGACUUUGAUGAUGUUAGCGAUUCUGUAUGCAAUCAGUAUGAUUCGUCUGCAGAAGAGUCCUCUGAUUCAAACAACUCCAGCUCACGAUUGACACUAGAUCAAUUCAACAAUCAUCUUUGCACAAGGUUCAUUUCAAGCAAGGCUUUGAGGAAAGAAUUGAGACGGAAGCAGCGGCUGGCAGCAGAGAAAGUGUGUAACAUCUGUCAACAAAAAAUGCUUCCUGGUAAAGAUGUAGCAGCUCUUUUGAAUUUGAAGACUAGAAGAGUGGCGUGCAGCAGUCGGAAUAGAACCGGGGCAUUUCACGUAUUCCAUACAUCCUGCCUUAUACACUGGAUAAUCUUGUGUGAAUUUGAGAUAAUCACAAAUCAUUUAGUCUGUCCAAAUGUUAGACGAGUAGUGAAGAGAAAGGUUGCGUCAGAUGGCAACAAAAUUGGAAAAGAAAAAGAUAUUGGAAAACAUAUAAGAACUGUAUUCUGCCCAGAGUGCCAAGGUACUGGUAUGAUCAUUGAUGGAGAUGGGGUGGAGCAGCCAGAAUUUUCUUUGUCGCAGAUGUUCAAAUUCAAAAUAAAGGCAUGUGAUGCACGCAGAGAUUGGAUAAAGAGUCCUGAAGUUUUGAAGAAUUGCUCAACUGGGUUUCACUUCCCUUCACAAUCUGAAGAGAUAUUUGAGGAAAAAGUGGAACCCAUAAAUUUACUGCAUUUUUAUCGUGCUGAUGAUCAGAGUUGGGCAUAACAACCGGGCAAACGUUUCUUAUACAUCUGAAAGCUGUGUUAGGAAGAUGAUUUACAGGAGGAAGAGGCAAGAGUGCUGAGCUGGCAUGAAGAAGGAAGGGGAGUUUAUCGUUUGAAAGAUAUAGGAAAAUCCAGAAGCCAAGUAGAGAUUGGAGGGCACAUGCAAAGACUCGGAACCCUUGCAGAGUUGCUUCCUAGAGGACCUGUACCACCUUCAGCACCAAGUCCUGACAUAAACUGAUACAUAUCAGUGUUCCAUUUGUCUAUCUACAUUGUUGGCUUGGCUGUUACAAUUUACACGUACCUUGUGAAAUUAAUUAUAUCGUGGUAGCAACAAAUUCUUUAAAUUAUUCACAUUUAGGGGUU